rnacentral:rRNA from 1 species
UACGGGGGGGGUAAGCGUUGUUCGGAAUUACUGGGCGUAAAGGGCUCGUAGGCGGCCAACUAAGUCGGACGUGAAAUCCCUCAGCUUAACUGGGGAACUGCGUCUGAUACUGGAUGGCUUGGAUUUGGGAGAGGGAUGCGGAAUUCCAGGUGUAGCGGUGAAAUGCGUAGAUAUCUGGAGGAAUACCGGUGGCGAAGGCGGCAUCCUGGACCAUUACUGACGCUGAGGCGCGAAAGCUAGGGGAGCAAACGGGG